AGUGAACGCUGGCGGCAUGCCUAACACAUGCAAGUCGAACGAGACCUUCGGGUCUAGUGGCGCACGGGUGCGUAACGCGUGGGAAUCUGCCCUUGGGUUCGGAAUAACAGUUAGAAAUGACUGCUAAUACCGGAUAAUGUCUUCGGACCAAAGAUUUAUCGCCCAGGGAUGAGCCCGCGUAGGAUUAGCUAGUUGGUGAGGUAAAGGCUCACCAAGGCGACGAUCCUUAGCUGGUCUGAGAGGAUGAUCAGCCACACUGGGACUGAGACACGGCCCAGACUCCUACGGGAGGCAGCAGUGGGGAAUAUUGGACAAUGGGCGAAAGCCUGAUCCAGCAAUGCCGCGUGAGUGAUGAAGGCCUUAGGGUUGUAAAGCUCUUUUACCAGGGAUGAUAAUGACAGUACCUGGAGAAUAAGCUCCGGCUAACUCCGUGCCAGCAGCCGCGGU
rnacentral:rRNA from 1 species